rnacentral:rRNA from 1 species
GACGAACGCUGGCGGCGUGCUUAACACAUGCAAGUCGGACGGAAAGGCCCUGCUUUUGUGGGGUGCUCGAGUGGCGAACGGGUGAGUAACACGUGAGUAACCUGCCCUUGACUUUGGGAUAACUUCAGGAAACUGGGGCUAAUACCGGAUAGGAGCUCCUGCUGCAUGGUGGGGGUUGGAAAGUUUCGGCGGUUGGGGAUGGACUCGCGGCUUAUCAGCUUGUUGGUGGGGUAGUGGCUUACCAAGGCUUUGACGGGUAGCCGGCCUGAGUGGGUGACCGGCCACAUUGGGACUGAGAUACGGCCCAGACUCCUACGGGAGGCAGCAGUGGGGAAUAUUGCACAAUGGGCGGAAGCCUGAUGCAGCAACGCCGCGUGCGGGAUGACGGCCUUCGGGUUGUAAACCGCUUUCGCCUGUGACGAAGCGUGAGUGACGGUAAUGGGUAAAGAAGCACCGGCUAACUACGUG